GUGAAUCAUCGAAUCUUUGAACGCAAAUUGCACUCUCUUCGGAGAGUAUGCCUGUUUGAGGGUCAGUAUUAAUAAAAAUCGGUGUGUUGCUGCUUUGUGACGCCCCGGAGUUUGGGUCAUCUUAAUUUAUCCUUUAGGUUUUAAGAGGCUUAAAAUUUACUUUUUUUUGCGCAUUUUAUUAGAUGUACUUAUAUUUUUUUUUUUUUUAAUGUGUCUUUAUUUUUUAAAC
rnacentral:misc_RNA from 1 species